rnacentral:lncRNA from 1 species
GUUUUUCUAACAAAUAAGACCGUAGAAAUGCUAAAUAAUGCUUGUAUCCAUGCAUAUACCUCAAUAAAAAAGAAUCUAGGUCUUGAAGAAAAGAAAAAGAUUUGAGGCUCGUGAAAAGUUGGAAGGCGAAAUGUUGAAUUUAAUUUAAAAAAAAAAAAUCAUGCAAAUAAGGAAAAGCUGAAAAAAAAUCCAAAAAUUUGUGGGGUCAACUAACCCGAAAUGCACCCAUGUGCAUCCUCCCCCACUCCUUUUGUAAGGUUUCGUUCCCACCUUAAGGCACAUAUUGGACUCUAUCACCAACCCUCAUAGCCCAAGGUCGUGUUUUGCCCUCCUCAGAAUGAGUCGUUAUCGACCAAAGGGAUGAUCGAGGAUGCACAUCCACUUGACCUCUUCAUUCUCAACUUCAAUACUCGACACCUUAAAGAAUUGGGGUGUGGUCAGCUAUGAG